CUACGUGCCAGCAGCCGCGGUAAUACGUAGGGGGCAAGCGUUAUCCGGAUUCAUUGGGCGUAAAGCGCUCGUAGGCGGUCUGUUAGGUCGGGAGUUAAAUCCGGGGGCUCAACCCCCGCUCGCUCCCGAUACCGGCAGACUUGAGUUUGGUAGGGGAAGGUGGAAUUCCUAGUGUAGCGGUGGAAUGCGCAGAUAUUAGGAAGAACACCAGUGGCGAAGGCGGCCUUCUGGGCCAUAACUGACGCUGAGGAGCGAAAGCUAGGGGAGCAAACAGGAUUAGAUACCCUGGUAGUCCACGCUGUAAACGAUGUCGAUUUGGGGGUUGAGCUUUAAGCUUGGCGCCCGUAGCUAACGUGAUAAAUCGACCGCCUGGGGAGUACGGCCGCAAGGUUAAAACUCAAAUGAAUUGACGGGGGCCCGCACAAGCGGUGGAGCAUGUGGUUUAAUUCGAUGCAACGCGAAGAACCUUACCUACUCUUGACAUCCAGAGAACAUUC
rnacentral:rRNA from 1 species